AACGAACGCUGGCGGCAUGCCUAACACAUGCAAGUCGAACGAACCCUUCGGGGUGAGUGGCGCACGGGUGCGUAACACGUGGGAACCUGCCCUUAGGUUCGGAAUAACACAGAGAAAUUUGUGCUAAUACCGGAUAAUGUCUUCGGACCAAAGAUUUAUCGCCUUUGGAUGGGCCCGCGUAGGAUUAGCUAGUUGGUGAGGUAAAGGCUCACCAAGGCGACGAUCCUUAGCUGGUCUUAGAGGAUGAUCAGCCACACUGGGACUGAGACACGGCCCAGACUCCUACGGGAGGCAGCAAUGGGGAAUAUUGGACAAUGGGCGAAAGCCUGAUCCAGCAAUGCCGCGUGAGUGAUGAAGGCCUUAGGGUUGUAAAGCUCUUUUACUGGGGAUGAUAAUGACAGUACCCAGAGAAUAAGCCCCGGCUAACUCCGUGCCAGCCGCCGCAGUAAGAC
rnacentral:rRNA from 1 species